rnacentral:tRNA from 1 species
GCGGAUGUAGUACAAUGGCUAGUGCUCCAGCCUUCCAAGCUGGGAAUGCGGG